GAAUUUGGGAGGCUUUCUGUAAUCACAGGGCAUCUUACAAUUACUGUCGGCCAGGCAGCUGCCUUUAAGUAUGUCAUCAACUGCGACUGUGCUGAGCAGAGCUAUGAAAUAGGAGCGGGGCAGGUGCACAGCCGUUAUCGCGAGAGUAUUAGCAGGAAACCCGGAAAGCGACCGUUAGAGAUCCCGCUGUGCCAAUGGUCAGCCUAGCAGUGGUGGGACUCGCGGCAGAAAGUGUGGUGAGAGGCAGAUUACAGCCUUCUCCCCGGGGCCCUCCAGGUGCUCUGGCCUCAGGCCAGCAGGUGAACUGGGGGGCCGUGGGGACAGGCCAGGGGCUGUGUCUCUCACACGGCUGCCUGUUGGUCGGGUCCAAGCCUGGAAGUGACCGUGAACCUCUUCCCGCUCCUCGCCUGCGAGACUUGAUGGCGACGUUAGUCGUCUCCACUGGUCUCCGUCCACAGAAGCCCCAGCAGCUGAAGGAUACACACACUGCCAUUCAGAUGCUGUGGUGCACAAACGUUACUCUGGUCCAUGUUCUCUUGCUCACUGCUGCCUCGUUGACAUGAAGAGAUGGUCAGGCGCAUCCUCCUGUGACCUGGCUUCGCACCGUGAAGAAUGGAGUGAUGGGAUAUCAGGACAUCUUGGAUGACAGCGACAGUGAGAAAAAAGGUUACUGAACCAUUUUUGGAUUUGUUUGGCAAUGAGUUUGGAGAUCUCAGAAGAGGAUGUAGAAUCAGUGAUUUAUGCAUUGUAAUUUGGAUGGUGUAGCACGAUUACAGUUCUGAUGAUGUCACACAUCAAGGUAAUGUGUUAAUG
ensembl:lncRNA